AACUUUCAACAACGGAUCUCUUGGCUCUCGCAUCGAUGAAGAACGCAGCGAAAUGCGAUAAGUAAUGUGAAUUGCAGAUUUUCAGUGAAUCAUCGAAUCUUUGAACGCACCUUGCGCUCCUUGGUAUUCCGAGGAGCAUGCCUGUUUGAGUGUCAUU
rnacentral:rRNA from 4 species